rnacentral:lncRNA from 1 species
GGAUGACCGAUGUGCCUUUUGACCUGAGUCAGGCACUCCAUUCUGUCUCUGAAUGUGAUGGGAGGGGCAGGAAGAGGGUGAGUUAUUCGGACCCUGAGUGGGAACAAUGACUGCUCCACCCUGUCCUGGGUGAAGAACAGAUGCGGCCAUUCUGGGGUUUAUUUUGAAAGCCCCUCAUGUGGAGUGUGCAUGUACCAGGCUGCAGAGAUUUACUCUUCAUUGACUCCCCUGAGCAAUACUCUCUGCAGGUGUUUUACAUGAGCAGCCUACUGAGGACAUCAGAAUUCUCUGCCCCUGUGUCUACCCUUCUGGAAAUUUCCUUAUGUCAAGAAGCCUUCUGGACCCCAAGAAGGGAAGACAGGCUAACCCUGAUGUCCAGAAGUGGUUGCUCCAAAAUCACAAAGUUUGAAACAUAUGAUAUGAAGCUGGAAGAGUUUGGGAACAAAAUUAUUGUUAAAGGACCCCGUUCAUGUCAUCGUCACCUGUAAUGAUGGCUCUUUGGAUGUAUAUGCAUGGGAGGAGAGAAGCCUGCUGCUCAGGAAGUGUUAUCGACUGAAAAACAGGAGACAUCUGUCACCGAGAGGCUUCAUUAACAAAACGCUAUGUGAUGAUGUGAGCAUAAUUCAGUUGAUGAUAGAUGGUCAUGACACCUGGUUUCUGAUGGCAUAUGCCUUGAAUAUCUGCUCUUGAAAACUUAGCAGUUUGUGUGUCCUCUUCCUCAAUGAUAAUAAAGGUCUAUUUGCAAG